GGACCAAGUUUUCACUCACUCCCGUACUCACUCUACUUCCAAGUUUUUUUUGGAAAAGAAAAAAAGUUAUAUUCCAAAAAAACACAAACAAAACUUUGAUAGUUUCACUGCUACUUACCCAUCGCCGAUCGCCGAUCACUGCUACUCGCCUCUCACUCGCCAAUCACCGAUCACCAAUCACCAAUCACCAAUCACCAAUCAUCAAUCACCAAUCACCUUUACCGUUCACUCGCCGGUGGCCUUCAACGCUCUUCUCACUCAUUGUCUCUCACUCACACUUUUCUAGGGUUUCAUAAAAGAGAGAUAUGUCUAGCGAAUCAGAUUCUGAAUAUAAGAAAACGAGUGAACGCAACAAUACUGAUACUGAAGAAUCUGAUGUCAAGCCUAAUAAAAGGAAAAGGAAGGGAAAAUCUAAAAGGAUUGAAGCUAAGAAAAAAGGAACGAAGGUUGCUGGAAACUCUGAAGUGCAAGUGAUCGAAGAUGUUGUUUUGAGACAAGGUGUCGUCCAUAUCAUUUGUACAAUUUAAUCAAUCAAUUUUCUGAAGACCAAAUUAAUUCUGUUAAGGAAAUUGGGUUUGAGGGCUUGCUCCAUUUAAAGGUGACGAACAUAGUUACCAAAAUGCUUUCUUGGUUUGUUAACAAUUUCGACCAAAGCAGUCGUUACUUUGAAAUAAGUCCUGGAGUUAGAUUUGUAUUGACCCCGUACGAUGUGCAUGAUGUUUUUGGUCUUCCUUUGAAUGAGGGAAACAACGUCAUUGAGUGCCGUAUGAAUGUUGAAGAUGACCUUGAUUUUCAUUUUAAAAGGGAGUUAAAGGAUAUCUUUAAUUUGGACAAAGAUAUACCUUUACAAAUGGUAGAAAAGAAAAUAUUGGAAUUGAAAGAAGGGGGUGAGACUUUUAAAAAAUUGUUUGUGCUUCAUGCUUUCUCAAGCUUUUUGGCUCCCCAUCGAAAGAGGUUAGUAGAUAUGAGGUUGGCAAGAGUAGUGUCCAAUGUGGAUCAAAUUAGGACCUAUGAUUGGUGCUCAUAUGUUAUUAACAGAUUAUGUGAAGUUGACAAGGCUUACAAGCAUGGUAACUUGCAAUUUCAUUGUGGUUGUUUUAAUUUUGUUGGAGAUAGUUUAUUUUCACCGUUUAAGGUUUAGAGAUAUUGGGGAACCAACUACUUUGCCCCUAAUUCAACAUUGGACUGACGAAAAAUAAAGGUAAGGAUCAACGGAGAAAAAGAGGCAAAACGUUUUGGACUUGGGAUUCUUGAUACGGUUACUUAUCCUAUAAGCAGAAAGUUGAAAUUUGUUAAUGGAUUUGUUGUUAUUGAUGAUGAGAGUGAAAAAAUUUUAGAUGAAGAUUUGUUUAAUAACAAAGUUUUUCUAAAGUUUGCUGACAAAUUGUGUCAACUUUAUUGGAAAGAUAAGGCUGCUUUGGGCAAUUUUGAUGCAAACUACGAGGCUCAAUUGGGUAAUUUGACAGCUAGGGCCAAUGAAGUUAUUGGUGAUGUUUUGAUUGAUAGAAACGUGACGGAAAAUGCCCAAAAUGAUGAACAAUCUGGACCUUCAAACCCUCCACCAAAUGAUAAUUCAGAACCCCCACUUUCACCACCAGCCGAAGCUUCAAAUGUCCCUCUUUCACCAUCACUAGUAGCACAAUUUGAGGAGGGUGAAAGAGAGGUUUUAGAUUAUGAAGAAUAUGUAGCGUUGGAUGAUGGCAAGUCCCUUAUUUCUUCAAUUCUCACUAGUGGGACAGCUGGGUGCUCAUUACUCGAGGAGUUGAAGUUUUGUUUGUUUCACAUUUCAUGAUCAAUUCAAGAAAGAAAUGAGGAACCUACACAAGCUCCAACAAGAGGUAGUUGAUUACGUGUUGGUGGAGGAUGAUUUAUAUUGUGAUGAUGAUGAAGUAAUGGUUACUUUUGGGCCUAAGCACAGCAUUUCAAGAUACGCGAUCAAGAAUUUGGCCUGUUACAAAAGAAUCAAGUAGUUCCCCCAAUUGUUAUCGAUUGUUGGGCACUAAUUCUUAAUAAUGAACUUAGCAAAUUUAGCAAGCCUCGAAAGUUUUGGUUUGGAGCUUCUCAAUCAACUGAAAUUGUACGUCUUAUGGAGCUCGACAAUGAACCAAAUACCCAGGAUAAUGAUUAUGUACAAUCAGUUUGGCUUGAAUGGAUCAAUGAUGUUAGUUUCGAGAACAUUGAAUUGGUUUUUGUUCCCAUCCUUUACAAUGGACACUUUAUGCUUUAUGUAGUAGAUUUCAAGAACAUUCAAAUAAAGUUUCUUGAUAAUCUUACUUAUGAAUCUACCGAACUCAAGACAAUAAAGAAAUUAUCAAGUAUUGUGGUUGAUCAACUUGAUUACGUUCUUUUAGGUCAAAAUUUAUCUUUGAGUGAAGAAACUGUGGCUUAAAUUUAAGCUUAUUCUGCCAAACUGGAAAUCAAGUAAAGAUGUUGAUAAUGAGUCUGCUAUAUACUUGAUGAUGACAAUGUUGUUUGAUGGAGAAAAAUAUCUUAAAUGUGUUGAACUCACAAAGUUUUAUGUGACGUGAAUGCUCGAAGAAAUGAAAUAUUGGAUCGUUGUAAAGCUUAUAAUACCAAAAGGGAAGAAAGGGAGCAAAUAGUGGCACAACGACGUAAGCAAAGAUUAGCCGAAGAAAUAUCAAGCAAAAUAUUUGGGAGAAGCAUCAAAAGAAGACAAACAUGGAAGCACAACCAAGAAGAAAUGAAAAACGAAAUGUACAAAAGAAACAUUGUUGUUCCGGAAAAUAAAACUCUGGUUAAACACUGUUAUUUCCUAUAGUAGUGUUUGAAAAUUUGAUCUUAAUUCAUGUAAUUUGUUAUUGUGUUUUGAAGGCUAACAUUACCCAAGAAUAUUAUAGGAUCAUAUUAUGUCCUUUUGAGUUUGGAUACUGAAUUAAUUUAUAUUGCACUUGCUAAAGUCAGCUUGCACAAAUUACUCCUAUCCGAAACUACCAGAGCUAAUGGUUUGAGAUGCAACUUGGGCAUGAAUUUCUCUAUUGAUCAAGGAAGCCAAUAGGCACUACUUUGACUACAAUGUUCAAUCUAAAAUUUCUUAGUCCCUGGGCCACAUCACAAUUUUGCAUAUAAAUUUAUUAUCGUCAUUGUUGUAAAAUUUUAAACAAAAAAAUACAAGUUAUUUAUAAUAAAGGGUAACUAUGUUUUACAAAAGGAAAAAUUUGUAUAUAAUAAAGGGUAACUAAGUUUUACAAAAGGGGUAACGUUGAAUAACAAAUGGGGUCGCCUUAAUUAUAAUUUUGAAAAUAAGUAACAACUUUUUUGUUUAAUUACUAACCAAUUUCAAAAUUUAUUUUCAAUGUGGUAGAUUUCUAAAUCAAACAAAAUUAAUACAAGAUAAUUUAUCUUCCAAGAAGGA